GAACACAAGGACACAGACACGUGCAGGAAGGAGGCAGCUGUGCACGAGCCCAGGAAAGAGGCCUCAAAGGAAGCAACCCUGCCCACACCUUGAUGUCAGACUGGCCUCUGGGGCUGGGAGAGAACGCGUUUCUGCAGUUGGAGCCAUGCGGGACUUUGUCACGCUCUGUCGUGACCACUGAGCUGGCUGAAACAGGUUUCAUGAAAGGACGGGAAGACCAUGCCUAGAACCCGGGGACUGCGCCUUGGGUGACAAUAGCAGUCAGUGGGUAAUGGUGCCCCACAGAGACACACGGACCGGGCCCCCCAGGCACUGAGGCACCCACGUGGGGCGAGAGGAACAGGCCUCCCCCCGUCCUGAGCCCCCCAUCCUGAGCCCAACGUAGCCCCGGAGGGCAGCAGAGGAAGGGAGAUCAGAGCCACCACACCCGCACUCCUGCUCACAGGGCCCCCUCCCCGGCUGGCUGCGACCCCGGGCUGAAGGUCUCUGCUCCUCGCCAGGUGGCCUCUCCACACCUUUCUGUCUCUGGACCGCCCACAGGACCCCAGGAGGUGCCCCCCACCUUGCAACGUCAUGGACACGUUGUCAAAGUCGUGGUGGUCUGGCUCGUUCCACGUCUCGAAGUUCCACUUGGAAA